rnacentral:sRNA from 1 species
GAUGAUAAUGGACUAAACUUCUGAACCUGUUCAACAACGACCUGUCCAUUUGAUGUACAGAAUCAGGCAGCUCUGCUCUAUUUUAAACCACUCAGUCUCCCUGCAACCAUGUACUUGUCCUGGGGCCAUAAAUAAAUCGCCUCACUUCUUGGAAAGACCGUAUUUUGGGUGAAUCUGCUCUUCCUUUAGAAAACGCAGUUCUGGACCCUUCAUUGCUGGUAAGAAAAACUGUUAUUAUAGAGACCAUUCCAUGGAAUUUGGAGGGAAUGGCCUUCUCUCACAUUACCCAACCAAAAUAAAGGAAUGGAUGAAUGGUACA